rnacentral:rRNA from 1 species
CCUACGGGAGGCAGCAGUAGGGAAUCUUUCACAAUGGGCGAAAGCCUGAUGGAGCAACGCCGCGUGCAGGAUGAAGGCCUUCGGGUUGUAAACUGCUUUUAUAAGCGAGAAAUAUGAUGGUAACUUAUGAAUAAGGAUCGGCUAACUACGUGCUAGCAGCCGCGGUCAUACGUAGGAUCCGAGCAUUAUCCGGAGUGACUGGGUGUAAAGAGUUGCGUAGGUGGCAUAAUAAGUAGCUAGUGAAAUCUGGUGGCUCAACCAUUCAGACUAUUAGCUAAACUGUUAAGCUCGAGACCGUUAGGGGUAACUGGAAUUUCUAGUGUAGGAGUGAAAUCCGUAGAUAUUAGAAGGAACACCAAUAGCGUAGGCAGGUUGCUGGGACGGUUCUGACACUAAGGCACGAAAGCGUAGGGAGCAAACGGGAUUAGAUACCCCUGUAGUC